AACUGCUUUUGUACCGGAAUAAACCCCAUGUCGUGACGUGGGUUGAAUGUACGGUAAGAAUAAGGAUCGGCUAACUCCGUGCCAGCAGCCGCGGUAAUACGGAGGAUCCAAGCGUUAUCCGGAUUUAUUGGGUUUAAAGAGUGCGUAGGCGGCCUAUUAAGUCAGGGGUGAAAGACGGUGGCUCAACCAUCGCAGUGCCUUUGAUACUGAUGGGCUUGAAUGAACCUGAGGUAGGCGGAAUGUGACAAGUAGCGGUGAAAUGCAUAGAUAUGUCACAGAACACCAAUUGCGAAGGCAGCUUACUAAAGUUUAAUUGACGCUGAGGCACGAAAGCGUGGGGAUCAAACAGGAUUAGAUACCCUGGUAGUCCACGCCCUAAACGAUGAAUACUCGAUGUUAGCGAUAUACAGUUAGCGUCUAAGCGAAAGCGUUAAGUAUUCCACCUGGGGAGUACGCCCGCAAGGGUGAAACUCAAAGGAAUUGACGGGGGCCCGCACAAGCGGAGGAGCAUGUGGUUUAAUUCGAUGAUACGCGAGGAACCUUACCCGGGCUUGAAAGUUAGUGAAGUAUCCAGAGAUGGGUACGCCCUUCGGGGCACGAAACUAGGUGCUGCAUGGCUG
rnacentral:rRNA from 1 species